GACGAACGCUGGCGGCGUGCCUAAUACAUGCAAGUCGAGCGGAUCGAUGGGAGCUUGCUCCCUGAGAUUAGCGGCGGACGGGUGAGUAACACGUGGGUAACCUGCCUGUAAGAUUGGGAUAACUCCGGGAAACCGGAGCUAAUACCGGAUAACAUUUUGAACCGCAUGGUUCAAAAUUGAAAGAUGGCUUCGGCUAUCACUUACAGAUGGACCCGCGGCGCAUUAGCUAGUUGGUGAGGUAAUGGCUCACCAAGGCAACGAUGCGUAGCCGACCUGAGAGGGUGAUCGGCCACACUGGGACUGAGACACGGCCCAGACUCCUACGGGAGGCAG
rnacentral:rRNA from 1 species